rnacentral:rRNA from 1 species
GCGAACGCUGGCGGCAGGCCUAACACAUGCAAGUCGAACGGGCACCUUCGGGUGUCAGUGGCAGACGGGUGAGUAACGCGUGGGAACGUGCCCAUCGGUUCGGGAUAACCCAGGGAAACUUGGGCUAAUACCGGAUACGCCCUUUUGGGGAAAGAUUAAUUGCCGAUGGAUCGGCCCGCGUCUGAUUAGCUAGUUGGUGAGGUAACGGCUCACCAAGGCGACGAUCAGUAGCUGGUCUGAGAGGAUGAUCAGCCACACUGGGACUGAGACACGGCCCAGACUCCUACGGGAGGCAGCAGUGGGGAAUAUUGGACAAUGGGCGCAAGCCUGAUCCAGCCAUGCCGCGUGAGUGAUGAAGGCCUUAGGGUUGUAAAGCUCUUUCACCCACGACGAUAAUGACGGUAGUGGGAGAAGAAGCCCCGGCUAACUUCGU